AUGCAGUGAUGAGAACACCAUUACAAUAGCUCCUUAUAUCUUUCCCACGCUUCAAAGAAAGACUCACCAUCAUGUUGCAUGAAGGAAGUGAUUUCUCCUUUCAACUU